rnacentral:rRNA from 1 species
GAUGAACGCUGGCGGCGUGCCUAAUACAUGCAAGUCGAGCGAACAGACGAGGAGCUUGCUCCUCUGACGUUAGCGGCGGACGGGUGAGUAACACGUGGAUAACCUACAUAUAAGACUGGGAUAACUUCGGGAAACCGGAGCUAAUACCGGAUAAUAUAUUGAACCGCAUGGUUCAAUAGUGAAAGACGGUUUUGCUGUCACUUAUAGAUGGAUCCGCGCCGCAUUAGCUAGUUGGUAAGGUAACGGCUUACCAAGACGACGAUGCGUAGCCGACCUGAGAGGGUGAUCGGCCACACUGGAACUGAGACACGGUCCAGACUCCUACGGGAGGCAGCAGUAGGGAAUCUUCCGCAAUGGGCGAAAGCCUGACGGAGCAACGCCGCGUGAGUGAUGAAGGUCUUCGGAUCGUAAAACUCUGUUAUUAGGGAAGAACAAAUGUGUAAGUAACUAUGCACGUCUUGACGGUACCUAAUCAGAAGGCCACGGCUAACUACG